GGGAGGAGGGCUCAGAGUGGGAAAAGCUGUCAGCUGUGACAAAGCUGCUUCAGCACAAGCCCUUUAAACCCCCAGGCUCGGGGUUUGGCUGGGUGCCCUGUCGGUGUCCUGGGGGUUUCACUCCUGGUGCUGUGCACACCCCGCACACCAAUGCACGAUGCAGGGCUGGAUGUGAUCUCGCACUCACGAGCUCCAGCAGUGCAGAGGAGGGAACUCGUGUUCUGGAGCUGAUCUAACUCAGGUGCCGGUGGACGCCAACUUAAUUCACGUCUAAAGCUUAUAUCAAUAUGCUUAUAAUGAGAUUUAAGCAAUUAAAGUGUGUAGUUUUAUCAUAUUGUUUGUUCUUGAUCUUCUCUAUUUACCCUGCAGAGGUUCAAAUGUCUGCUCAGUUGCUGUAGCUCACUGCUGUGGAUAAUCUGAGCUUUAUUUAAUGAACACGGCUCCUCUGCCAGGCAGAAUAAAGGAUAUUCUAAACAUUACUGUAUACCCAGUGCUUCCAUGCAGAUUUUAAAGAAAGCACAAGCUCCCAUGUUUCCCUCAUGAGGAAGCUUAGAUUAACAAUCUGGUUAAUGUUUGGCUCAGGUGGAAAAGUCUAACGAGUUUCAAGUGUGUCACGGGGCUCUUGGAGCCACAAAAAGUAAACAUCUUGGGUUUACUGAAAGUCACCCACAGCCGGAAAGUCGUCACUGUGAAAUAAAACUGGGGCAAUGGUUCACUAUUGAUUUAACAAAUGAGUCAUCCGUGCUGCAGACUUCCUGCAGCAUCCACGCUCAGCAGCUCCACUGAAACACUCGGGCAGGAGCACGUCUGUGCUGAGAUGCAGCUGGGAGCAUCUUCAUCUGGGGCUAAUGGAGCUCUGGAGGCUUUGCCUUCACGGGGACUUGCUGGCUGUGGCAGUGCCAGCACAGAUGGAGCUGCUUCCCUGGGCUGGAUUCAUGUUUGCUGGGAGAGGCAGUGGAGGUGCUGAGUGAAAAAUAAAGCUGGCUGGGGAAAUCCUUGAGGUGCUGUCACCGUGGCAGCAGAAGCGUGGUGGGGAGCUGAGGAGGAUUUGGGUAACACAGCUCCCUGGGAACAUGAGGGAAGCUGGGAUUUGUUGCACUCAUCUUUGGACUACCUGGAGGAAGCGGAAUAAUCCAGACAGAGCAGACAAUUGCACAACAGACAGCUCCUGUCCCUGCUGCGUACAGGUUACGGGAGGGUGCAGUGGGGGUCACUGAGUCUGUGUCACCACGAGGCACAGCAGGGUGGCUUUGGAAGCACCGAGUUUGAGGGCUCUGCCUCGGGAGCUGGUCUGUAGCACCUGCAGGACACCAGGGUGAGCACAGCACGAUCCUGGAGGCAGCUCAGAUAUCCCAGUGUGCCCAUGAGUAACUGAGGUCAGUGUCACAUGCUCAGGAAUCACAAACCUUACAUCGAGACCUUUGAAAAGGAAGGGGGUUUAAAAUCAGCAUUUGAAGGAGCGAAGCAGCUCCUGUUGGUGGAAUCUCGGGUGGUGAUGAUGAAGGAUCGAGACAGAGCCUCAGGAUUCAGUCUGUGCUGUGUCUUUAGGAUGCAGCAGGAACUUGAGUGCUGCUGUCUGUGUUGUGGUUUCCACAGCUCUGGGAACAUCUCCUUUCCUUCCACUGCAGGGGAGGAAACCAGCCCCGGGCUCUAACAGCUGAAGGGGGAAACACAGAAUUUUGCAAGCUGGACUUUGUGGUGUUUGGGGAAUUUAUCCCUUUGAUUCAAAAAAUACCCUCGUGUUCCUGCUUGGCCUCCAAAUGACUCCAUUUGUUUCAGUGGAACAGCUCCUGCACAAAUAUAGGAAUGGCUUAUCACUGACAUUUCCUGCUCCCCCAGGCUGAAUGUGUCAGCCUGACCCCAAAACCAGCUCUGAAAGACGUUUCUUUAAUUAUCUCAAACACAGCGAGGACAAACAGCCAGACCUUGUGUCAUGCUUGUUCUGAACUGAAAAGUACACGCUGUUGUGCUGCCCAGACAAGAGCAGAACAUUUGCAGCCUGCAAAAUGCUGUUUCUCAAUCCCACUGACACGUCCUGGCUUGAGAACAUCCACACGCUGGAGUGAGAUUUUAGCAGGAAUAAACACACUUGAGAUAGAAACAAAGCACAAAUCUGCUGAUGUGCAUUGUAGGAGAGUUGUUAAUCAAUGCGUGGAAUUUCCAGGCUUGCAGCAGAUAUUGUUGUCUUCCAUGUAAAGACAAAAAAAAGCUGCUAGAAGGACCUCAGCCAUGACAUUGUGCCAAGAAAUCCAAAGCAAAGGGAGGAAAACAAAUUAAUUUCAGCUGGCUUUGUGCUAACAUACAAUAAAGAACAGGAACAAAGGUCUGGGCUUGGGUAUGUCAACACAUCAUGUGUACUAAAAUAUAUGCUGGCUUUUUUUUAAUAACUUCACAAUGAAUACAAACUUCUUUUCGGAGUCUUUGCCUUGUCCAGGGUUGGGUCACAGCCCUGUAACACCAGGUCAGUAAGGAAACAGUUUCGGUUUAGGGAUAAAGCAGGAGCUUUUCUCUUCUGUAGCUAAAAAAGCAGGGCUACUCAAUGGAACCAGGCUCUUUACUUCAAAAUAAAAUCUCUGAAUGUUCAUCUGUUGUUUUUGAGUACUGCCCUGACUUAGUAGGGUUGGAAGUGAACUUGUUCUUUUCUGUUUUCUUUGAAACUUCCUUUUUUUCAGCCUUUAAUGUGGUGUACAGUGCUAGAUUGGCCUCAGUGGUGGGCAGGGAACACUCUCACAUGUGCAAAUUUCUUACGUAUACCUAAUUUUUAAUCAUCCUACACAUGGCAAAGGCCAAUUCUUGUGGAUUUUUUCUUUGAAACGAUCCUUUGAGGCAAAAUAAGAAAACGCGAAUAUAAACACAAAGUGCAGCCACAGGCAGGGGCUCUGCAUAGCCACAGCACUGCUUUAAACCCGGGAAAUCCUUUCCCUGUCUUUUGACCUGAAAGAUCCCUCUACAUCGUUUUCAAUGCUUUAAAUUUAAACAUGAAAUAGUUUAACAAAAUGCAGGCUGGGGAAUGGGUACAACACACCCGAGACCAUCCAUCUGACACCAGAGCCCGUGGCCCUCUCCGGGGGGCUGGCUUUUACUCUUUGUUCGCUGAAUCCCUUCUCUCGACGCCCCUCGCUCGCACAGCCGGGUGUUUUGUGCGUUUCUCCUUUUUUUUUUUUUUUUUUUUUUUUUUUUACCUCUUUGAAGCCCCCAGCGGCAGCUGGCGCGGGCGUUCCCCCACGACGUUUGUUGUGCUAAUUCUCGGGCGGGGCGGGGCUGGCAGCGUGGCCGGGGGGCUGUGGCGAGGGGCCGGGGGUACCGAGGGCGGUACCGGGGGCCCGCGGGCGGCGCUCGGUGGCGGGGCCGGCCCGGGCGGGACAAAGAGCGGCGGCCGCUCCCGCGCUGCCCUUCGUGAGGGGAUUCGAAUGGCGGCCCCGCCCGCCCGCGCGCCGCGGCCGCUCUGCCCUGAGCCCGCCCGGCAACAGGCGGGGCUUGGCCGCCAUUGGCGGAGCGGGCGAGCGGCGCGCUCCCAUUGGCUGCGGCCGCGCGGCCCCGCGGAGGGGGGAGGAGGGAGAGGGUGUUAAACGGCGCAGGACGCGGCCGCCAUUUUGUGAGGGAGAGCGAGGGGCGGUGCGGAGCGGAGCGGGCUCUGGGGCGGGGGUCGGACGGUGACGGCGGAGCAGCGCGGGGUCGGUUCCCGGAGGGCCGUGUGCGUGUCCGUGCUUGUGGGCGAGCGGAGCGGACAGAAGUCGCAGGACUUCUCCCUUGGAGCUUCUGUGCCGAGAAUCCGAUGUUGGGCUCGGCUCCCUGGCUGAAGACAGCAGAUCAGCCCAUGAAAACUUCUAUUCCCAGCCAAAGGAAGGAGUCCAGCACAAGGCAGCACCUCUUCUUUCAGGCUUGGAAGCAAGAAAGGGGGCAAGAGUUGGAGAGUGUGGAGUCGGAGAAGACCACUGAGAGGUGACAUUUAAGUUGAAGAUGGGUGGUGGAGAAAGAUACAACAUUCCCAUUCCCCAGUCUAGAAAUACCACCAAGAACCAUCAACAACUUAAAAACAGGCAGAAGAGCAAAGACCCCAACUCUCAGAUGAAAACCUACGCCAAGAAGGAAAGAGGCCACGGCUGCAGCUCCUCUCCUGGUGCAUGGCAGGCCAUGCAGAAAGGGGGGAAGAACAACGUUCACUUCCCCAAGAAUCCCAACUGGAAUCCUGCUCUGUCCAAUCACAACCUGUUGUUCACCCCUCAGAGCAACCAGAACUAUGCUGGAGCCAAGUUCAGCGAGCCACCCUCCCCAAGUGUCCUGCCCAAGCCACCGAGCCACUGGGUACCUGUUUCUUUUAAACCUUCUGAUAAGGAAAUAAUGACAUUUCAGCUCAAAACCUUACUGAAAGUCCAGGCCUGAGGUGUAACUCGUGUGAUUUUCAGGAGUGAUUUCGACUGUCAGGGUUUCAGAUUUGAGCAUUGCUGUUCCAAACUCCAGCUGUGCCAGGACCAGGUGUUCUUGCUGCAUGUAGUUAGUCACUUGGAGAGGGGUGUGAGUUUACAUUCCCCUCAUCUUUUACCUCAGAAGUUCAGUGCUGUGUUCACCUCACUGUGAAAUAGAUAUUUUCUUGUAAAUCACUCGAAUCCUGAGCGGUCACCAUUUACUGUAUUUAAGAAUAAAUGGGACUGCGUGCCAAAAUUGGAACUGUGGCUUUGAAUUGUUAGAAAACCACCUUUUACCUAACUUAAUGCAGCAUGAACUGAAAAGAAAAACGCACUGAAAACUUUAGUCAGGUUAUUUGCUGCUUUCAGGCUGGCGUGAGAUUUGCUAAACACUGCAGAGCAGAAACCUCCACCUGGGCACACAGGGAGGCACAGCUGAUCCUCUUCCCUGCCCUGGGAGCUUUAGUGGCACUCCUGCAGUGGUGGGUGAGCGUUUCCAGCCCGUGGCUCCCAUCUGGAACGUUCUGGAAGGGUGUGGAAGAACUCCUGGCUGUGCUUCCCAGGAAUCUCCAUGAGUGCCAGCUAAAGACCUUGCAUGGCCAGGUGACUGCCAAAAAAGCUCCCCCAAACCCUUUGUGUGCCCACUGCACUGAGGAGUCCUAAACCACAUUUUGGUAUCAGUUUUUAUAAAAAAGGUGGAGUAGUUCCUUAGUUUGGUCUUAAAUUGGUUCCCCUGUAAGGAUUCAUGGUUUGGGGCAGGUGUUAGAUGUUCUCACGGGGAAGACAGAGCCAUGUAAAUACAUGUAAAACAUUGUAGCAUAUGUAAAUUUCUGCUGGGCUUUCCUGCACAGAAGUAUUUUUAGUACAAAACUGCUGAAUGUAAGAUGACCAUGUUGACUACGUGGCCUGGUUUAAAAAAAAAAAAAAAAAAAAGAUAUUUUGUUUAAAAAAAAAAGUUAACAAAAAAAAAAAGACAUUUGUGGCUGUGCCCGUGCACUUCACAUGCAAUGAAUAUGCACAUUGUAUUUGGUUCUAAUCUCAUUUUUUUAAGUAAAAUCAGUGCAAAAAUGCUUAUUUAGAAUUUUUUUUUUUAAUUAAAGAAAAAAAAAACCUAAAAAAAAAA